UUGACCUCGGAUCAGGUAGGGAUACCCGCUGAACUUAAGCAUAUCAAUAAGCGGAGGAAAAGAAACCAACUGGGAUUGCCUUAGUAACGGCGAGUGAAGCGGCAAUAGCUCAAAUUUGAAAGCUGGCGCCUUCGGCGUCCGCGUUGUAAUUUGUAGAGGACGCUUCGGCGAGGACUCCUGCCUAAGUUCCCUGGAACGGGACGUCAUAGAGGGUGAGAAUCCCGUAUGUGGCGGGCGGUCUAAGCCAUGUGAAGCUCCUUCGACGAGUCGAGUUGUUUGGGAAUGCAGCUCUAAAUGGGAGGUAAAUUUCUUCUAAAGCUAAAUACCGGCCAGAGACCGAUAGCGCACAAGUAGAGUGAUCGAAAGAUGAAAAGCACUUUGGAAAGAGAGUUAAAAAGUACGUGAAAUUGUUGAAAGGGAAGCGCUUGCAACCAGACUCGCUCGCAGUUGCUCAGCCCGCCUCUUGGUGGGCGUACUCUUCUGUGAUCGGGCCAGCAUCAGUUCGGGCGGCUGGAUAAAGGUGUCGGGAAUGUAGCACCCUUCGGGGUGUGUUAUAGCCCGGCGCGGAAUGCAGCCAGCCUGGACUGAGGAUCUCGCUUCGGCAAGGAUGCUGGCGUAAUGGUUGUAAGCGGCCCGUCU
rnacentral:rRNA from 1 species